UUAUAAAUAAAAUUUAAUUAAGUAAAGAUUAAAUGUAAUCAUUAAAUUUAGAUAAUUUGGCGGUAUUUUAAGUAGUUAGAGGAAUUUGUUGAUUAAAUGAUAUUCCACGAAUGGAUAGUCCUAAUAAAUUUUUAUGUAUUGUUGUAUUAAAAUUAUUUUAAUAGAAUAAUAAUUAAAAAAUUUAAUUUAAUUUAAAUUCAAAUCAAAAUGUAGAAUUAUUAGGGUUAGAUGAAUUACAGUUUAAUUUAAUAUUGGAGUUUAUCUUUUAAUUAGAUUUAUUAAAGAGGAUUUAAAAGUAAAUUUAAAAAAAUAUUUAAGUUGAAAUUAUUAGUGAAAUAUG
rnacentral:rRNA from 1 species